GCCAGCGUGGUGUAGUGGUUUGAGCAUUGGACUACAACUCUGGAGAUCGGGGUUCGAAUUCCACCUCGGCCA